UACGUAGGUGGCGAGCGUUGUCCGGAUUUACUGGGCGUAAAGAGCGCGCAGGCGGUCGUACAAGUCGCGUGUGAAAGCCCCCGGCUCAACUGGGGAGGGUCACGCGAUACUGUUCGACUCGAAGGCAGGAGAGGGUAGUGGAAUUCCCGGUGUAGUGGUGAAAUGCGUAGAUAUCGGGAGGAACACCAGUGGCGAAGGCGACUUCCUGGCCUGUACUUGACGCUGAGGCGCGAAAGCUAGGGGAGCAAACGGG
rnacentral:rRNA from 1 species